UGGACAUUCUGAGGAGUGGUAUGCUAGAGGAAGGAGGGACCUCAGGGGCAACCAGCUUCUAGGUAGCAGAAGGGAUCAAAUUCUCAAACCGUUAGUGUGAGAGAGCAACACAAACUUCUGCUGUGAGGUGGAUCUCACCACAGGCCCAGGCUGAGCGUGACCUAGGGCUGGUGCCUCUGAAGCAGGAGACAGCACAAGGCACGUGCUCUGCCGUUGAACUUCGUCUCUGACCCUGAUUUGGUUGUGUCGAAGAUUACUGUCCCCUCUUUCAAUGAGUCAGGGCAUUCGUCGUCUGGCUUUUCUGCUUGUCCUUGUGGUCAGCCCGCAUUAUGAGGAGGGACAUGUCUCACGUGAGACUCUUCUGAAGCCUGCACCUGGAGUCAUACCAGAACCAUCUGCUCCUUGGCUGAGUUACCUGAGCUCAGCAGAUCAAGAACUAACCUAGCUUCUCCCUGUGGGAUUUUGAUUACGGUUGCUUCCCUUGAAGCUAUGAUGCAAGAGGAGGGAAGAAAACACCAGUCUUGGAGCCGUUGCCAUGAUGAUGGAACUGUGUAGUUUCAGCAGGUACAAGAUCCAUCCUGGACACGAGCUGUGCUACACCAGGACUGCCGGAGGAAUCCUCAGCAGAUAAAGUAGACCGUGUCUACAGAAGAAGACACAAAGACAGGACAGCCAGAGACAACUCAAAAGAAAAGAACCCACUAAGCAGCUGCUCCCUGGGUCAGAGGAAAAGGAGGAAAAGGAAGAGGAGGAGGAGGAGGAGGAAGAAGAGGAGGAGGAGGAGGAGGAAGCAGCCGCAGUGGCAGCAGCAGCAGCAUAUUUCUUUGUGUUGACCCAACAAGACUUACUCUAGCGCUUACUUUAGGCUGUAGUGUGGCACUGGUGGGCUGGGACCAUAGGAAAUUACUGAAAUACGGCCCAGAAUCUGUUUCUCUGUAGUGUGGCUCUACACUACCCAGGGAUGAAGGAAGA
rnacentral:lncRNA from 1 species